rnacentral:rRNA from 1 species
UACGAAGGGGGCUAGCGUUGCUCGGAAUCACUGGGCGUAAAGCGCACGUAGGCGGAUCUUUAAGUCAGGGGUGAAAUCCUGGAGCUCAACUCCAGAACUGCCUUUGAUACUGGGGAUCUCGAGUCCGGAAGAGGUGAGUGGAACUCCGAGUGUAGAGGUGAAAUUCGUAGAUAUUCGCAAGAACACCAGUGGCGAAGGCGGCUCACUGGCCCGAUACUGACGCUGAGACGCGAAAGCGUGGGGAGCAAACAGG